CUCCUACGGGGGGCAGCAGUGAGGAAUAUUGGUCAAUGGGCGGGAGCCUGAACCAGCCAAGCCGCGUGAGGGAAGAAGGUACAGCGUAUCGUAAACCUCUUUUGUCAGGGAACAAAGGCGGGGACUAGUCCCCGGAUGACGGUACCUGACUAAGAAGCCCCGGCUAACUACGUGCCAGCAGCCGCGGUAAUACGUAGGGGGCAAGCGUUAUCCGGAUUUACUGGGUGUAAAGGGAGCGUAGACGGCAGAGCAAGUCUGAAGUGAAAGCCCGCGGCCCAACUGCGGGACUGCUUUGGAAACUGCCC
rnacentral:rRNA from 1 species